CGUCACUAGUUGUUUUUGAGAAUUGUCAAAAAUUGAAAAUUUAUUAUUUACAAAUAAUAUUAAAAGACGUAUUUUAUUACGUCAACAGUUUUUUCGAUUUAUAAUAUUAAUACAAAUAUCAAGUAUGCCUUACCGCCGAAAAGGUUGAAAUAGAAAUGUGAUUUAUGUUGUGUUUUCUAACCUAUAUUUGUGUAUAACAAAUCUUGUAAAGUGUUUUACUACAUUUUGUUAAAAAAAUGAGUGAAAGUGUUAAAAUAUGAAAUAGCGUAAGUGUUUACUUGUGAAUGAAAGUGCUAGUGAUUACAAAUAUAACGGUGUUUGGAUUACUUACAUAAAGGCGGCAGUAUGAUUAUAAAUUUCUUCGAACAAGGCAAGGUGGACAUCUGCUUAUGUACAAGGGCUACACGUAUUCAAAGCACAGCAGCUCUUCGAACUAUUAUUGUUCGAAAAAGGACCAAGGAUGCAAAGCUAAAGUGAAGUUGGAUCUUUCGGGCAAUGUAAUACCUUACUACUAUGCUACGCAUCACCAUCCACCCCCACAGUAUGCUGUGACAAUUACGGGAGAGUGAUUAUUGUUACCGAUUUAUUAAAACGAAUCAAGGUGGCAAUUUGCUGAUGGUAAACGGAUACACAUAUUCGAGACGUAACAACACUACAAAUUAUUAUUGUUCGAAAAAAGACCAAGGUUGUAAAGUCGGCGUCAAGUUCGAUGUGAAUGGAAGAUUGAUAUUUAAACGUUUACUCACCCAUAAACACCCCCCACCGAAAUACCACGUCACGGAAUCAGGGAUAUACAUAAAGCUGUCAUCAUGAUUAACCUUAUAAUUAUAAGUUUAUAAAGACAAAGCAUUCGUCAUUAUUAAUGUUGAACGGUUACACGUACGCAAAGAACUCAAGACGUCCAAUCUACUACUGUUCAAAGAAAAAUAAAGGCUGUAAAGCAAGAUUAAAAAUAGAUAGAAGUGGUUUUGUAAUAAAUAAAAUGGACGACUUGAAGCACUUACAUCCUCCUCCAAAAUAUUACCAAAUGGCAUCUGGAGAAUAUUUGAAAAUAUCGUCAUGAAAUUAUCAUCUUGUGGUGAAAAAAUCGGGAUAACAUUUAUAAAUGUAUUUU